rnacentral:rRNA from 1 species
CAGGAGGAUAGCCCGGGGAAACUCGGAUUAAUACUCCAUAGGAUUUUAAUUGGCAUCAAUUAAGAUUGAAAGAUUUAUUGGAUAAGGAUAGGCAUGCGUCAGAUUAGCUAGUUGGUAGUGUAACGGACUACCAAGGCGAUGAUCUGUAGGGGGCCUGAGAGGGUGAACCCCCACACUGGUACUGAGACACGGACCAGACUCCUACGGGAGGCAGCAGUGAGGAAUAUUGGACAAUGGAGGGAACUCUGAUCCAGCCAUCCCGCGUGCAGGAAGACGGCCCUAUGGGUUGUAAACUGCUUUUGUAUGGGGAUAAAUCUACUUACGUGUAGGUAGUUGAAGGUACUAUACGAAUAAGCAUCGGCUAACUCCGUGCCAGCAGCCGCGGUAAUACGGAGGAUGCAAGCGUUAUCCGGAUUCAUUGGGUUUAAAGGGUCCGUAGGCGGGCUAUUAAGUCAGUGGUGAAAUUUUGUCGCUCAACGAUAAAACUGCCAUUGAUACUGAUAGUCUUGAGUGAUAUUGAAGUAGCUGGAAUGUGUAGUGUAGCGGUGAAAUGCAUAGAUAUUACACAGAACACCGAUUGCGAAGGCAGGUUACUAAGUAUUAACUGACGCUGAAGGACGAAAGCGUGGGGAGCGAACAGGAUUAGAUACCCUGGUAGU